UCCCGAGCGUUNUCCGGAUUUAUUGGGCGUAAAGCGAGCGCAGGCGGUUAGAUAAGUCUGAAGUUAAAGGCUGUGGCUUANCCAUAGUACGCUUUGGAAACUGUUUAACUUGAGUGCAGAAGGGGAGAGUGGAAUUCCAUGUGUAGCGGUGAAAUGCGUAGAUAUAUGGAGGAACACCGGUGGCGAAAGCGGCUCUCUGGUCUGUAACUGACGCUGAGGCUCGAAAGCGUGGGGAGCGAACAGGAUUAGAUACCCUGGUAGUCCACGCCGUAAACGAUGAGUGCUAGGUGUUAGGCCCUUUCCGGGGCUUAGUGCCGCAGCUAACGCAUUAAGCACUCCGCCUGGGGAGUACGACCGCAAGGUUGAAACUCAAAGGAAUUGACGGGGGCCCGCACAAGCGGUGGAGCAUGUGGUUUAAUUCGAAGCAACGCGAAGAACCUUACCAGGUCUUGACAUCCCGAUGCCCGCUCUAGAGAUAGAGUUUUACUUCGGUACAUCGGUGACAGGUGGUGCAUGGUUGUCGUCAGCUCGUGUCGUGAGAUGUUGGGUUAAGUCCCGCAACGAGCGCAACCCCUAUUGUUAGUUGCCAUCAUUCAGUUGGGCACUCUAGCGAGACUGCCGGUAAUAAACCGGAGGAAGGUGGGGAUGACGUCAAAUCAUCAUGCCGCUUAUGACCUGGGCUACACACGUGCUACAAUGGCUGGUACAACGAGUCGCAAGUCGGUGACGACAAGCUAAUCUCUUAAAGCCAGUCUCAGUUCGGAUUGUAGGCUGCAACUCGCCUACAUGAAGUCGGAAUCGCUAGUAAUCGCGGAUCAGCACGCCGCGGUGAAUACGUUCCCGGGCCUUGUACACACCGCCCGUCACACCACGAGAGUUUGUAACACCCGAAGUCGGUGA
rnacentral:rRNA from 1 species